rnacentral:tmRNA from 1 species
GGUUGACUGGAUUUGACAGCGGGUAGAAAUGGUGAGUAAGCAUGCAGUGCGUCGUUGAUUGGCACUUAAAUCUCAGUCUUCCAAAUUUUAUCUGGCGAAACUCGUUACGCUCUCGCUGCCUAAUCGAAUCAUAGUAGAUACGGCUUCAUUCCGACACAAGGUGUUGGAACGGGACAUCACUCGGAAGCUCUUGCUCCGAAGCAUUCCGGCAAAGUGGUGCAGUCAUCUCGGAGAUAGUUAGCGUUUGCCUCGAAACGUUGAUGAAAUUUUAGAGGAUAAGGUUGUGGUUGAUAGCUUUGGUUCUGCCGCAACUCGAAAAUCUAAGCAAAGAUAAGCAUGUAGAAAGCUUAUGAUUUCCUCGUUUGGACGAGGGUUCGAUUCCCUCCAGCUCCACUC